rnacentral:tRNA from 2 species
UAAAUUAAAGCCAAAAAGAGGCAUUUUAUUGUUAAUAAAAUUAUUGAAUAAAAUUCUAAUUUAU